GAUGAACGCUGGCGGCGUGCCUAAUACAUGCAAGUCGAGCGAACAGACGAGGAGCUUGCUCCUCUGACGUUAGCGGCGGACGGGUGAGUAACACGUGGAUAACCUACCUAUAAGACUGGGAUAACUUCGGGAAACCGUAGCUAAUACCGGAUAAUAUAUUGAACCGCAUGGUUCAAUAGUGAAAGACGGUUUUGCUGUCACUUAUAGAUGGAUCCGCGCGGCAUUAGCUAGUUGGUAAGGUAACGGCUUACCAAGGCAACGAUGCGUAGCCGACCUGAGAGGGUGUUGCGCCACACUGGAACUGAGACACGGUCCAGACUCCUACGGGAGGCAGCAGUAGGGAAUCUUCCGCAAUGGGCGAAAGCCUGACGGAGCAACGCCGCGUGAGUGAUGAAGGUCUUCGGAUCGUAAAACUCUGUUAUUAGGGAAGAACAAAUGUGUAAGUAACUAUGCACGUCUUGACGGUACCUAAUCAGAAAGCCACGGCUAACUACGUG
rnacentral:rRNA from 1 species